AACUUCGAGGUGUAUUGACAUGUCAGACUGCAAAUCUGAAGUCGGCAGCUGCCCGGGGUUU
rnacentral:tRNA from 2 species